GCGCCUGUAGCCUAACGGAUAAGGCACCAGCCUCCGGAGCUGGCUAUGCAAGUUCAACUCUUGCCAGGCGCA
rnacentral:tRNA from 1 species